AAAAGCAAUAAUUCAGUUUAGAAUUUCAGAUCCGGCGACAAGAUCGACGACUCAUUAACAAUAAAUAAAGAGGGGAGAAAUUUCAGCAAAAUAAAAAAGGAAUUGAAAUGGAGGAUGCUCCGGUGGGUUGGGUCAUUAACAAGUUGGACUCCCUGCUAACAGGAGAGGUGAGACUGCUGAGAGACGUCCAUAAAGAAUUUGAAAACGUCAAAUAUGAACUUGAAACCAUUAAAUCAUUCCUGAAAGAUGCAGACGCAAGGUUGGAUCAAGAAAAUGUGGACAGCCGCAUCAGAACUUGGGUGAAGCAAAUGAGAGAAGUCGCUUUCCGCAUAGAAGAUGUCAUCGAUGAAUACAUGUUUCAUGUGGCAAGGUAUCAAAAUCAGCAUGACUACUUGCAUAAAAUGGCUUGCUGUG
rnacentral:misc_RNA from 1 species